AACUUUGAGCGGUGGAUCACUCCAUUCAUGUGUCGAUGAAAAGUGCACCCAACUGUGUGAAUUAAUGUGAACUGCAUACUCCUUUGAGCAUCAACAUAUUGAAGGCAUAUUGCGGCCACGGGAUAUCCUGUGGCCACGUCUGUCUGAGGGUCG
rnacentral:rRNA from 1 species